CGGCGGGCCCCGCCCCGCCGUUUAAACGCCGGUGACGGUUGGCAGCCGUUAACGGUCGCGGCGCGAGGACUGGAGGACAGCGCGGGGGGCGCGCGCGCGGCAGAGUCAGUCCAGCUCAGCAGAUUCCAUGGAGGAGAUGAUGGGACCCGACAGGUAUAGAUGGGCCGCUCUGAACGAGGAAGAGCGGCUAGCGGGAGCGGCUGCUUUGGCUCUUAGCCAGCUCUACGCUGAGCAAGGAGAUGGUGAUAGCCGGAGAGGAGCCUGGGCGCUUCCCCAGUACGAUCCCUACAGCAAAGCCUCCGUGGCUUCUGGGGCCCGGCCCGCUCUUCCCGUGCUGUUACGGCACAAGCAGGCAGAGGCCUGCGUGCCAUCCUCUGGGGCAGCGAGAGGGACCAGGAGACCGGUAAUGAAAAGGAAAGUGCUGAGGCGGAGACCUGAUGGAGGAGUAGAGGUCUCCGACGAGUCAGUCGCCAGCGAAACAGAGAGCAGUGCUGAGAGCGACCCCGAGGUUUGGAACCUGCAGCAGCAAUUGCUUAACCUCAGCACCCAUCUGGAAGACAGCAUCUCCGAGGGGGAAAUUGAGUCAACCAGCAGUUUCCUCGACGAGUCUUCCCUGGAGCUUUAUCGCCACCGGCAGAGUCCCCCCUUCCUUAGGGACUUCCAGGGCCAGAGCUCUCCCUCUUCCCAGCAGGACACAUCUGCGACAGGACAGCCAAGGUCUUUUAUUCCUCCAAGGUUAGAGCAACUAGGCCGUAACCGUGGGAAAACUGACCGCGUAGCCAAGUAUUUUGAAUACAAGCGAGACUGGGAGAUGUUCCGAAUACCGGGGGAGGAUCAGCGGAAAGAACUGCGUUGGGGUAUUCGCGAACAGAUGCUCUACAAGCCUGACCUCCCGAGCAAGCCUCAGCACAUCUACGUCCCCAACACUUACAUAGUGCCUACUGAGAAAAAGAGAGCUGCUUUGCGCUGGGAGGUGCGCUGUGACCUGGCAAACGGCCUCAUACCCAGAAAAAGCUCCUCUUCCUAGUUACAUAAAGUCCUCUUCCAUCCACAGGACUAACACUUAACUCAGGUGCUUAUCAUUCUCCUAGAUCCUCCUUUUUUUUUUCUCCCCUUCUGGAGGCCCCACCAAUUUGGAAAAAAAUCUCCCUUGUGUUUACACACGUGGGCUGCUGAUGGUAUAAAACAACUUUAGCCAGCUCCUUAUUCAGUUGGCUUGGUUAAACGGCAUUGCCUCCCCAUUAAGGCACAAAGCUUCCUUUUGAAUAACUAUUCUAUCAGAAGGCACGGAAAGCAGACACAGCGAAGAACAACCAGUCAACUUACAAGACUUGUAUGCUCAAGAGAACAACUAGUAUAACAAGUCUGGUGAUUUUUUUUACAUUUAAUUGCUCCCAUUCCUCUGGAUGGAUUCUUGUGUGAGCUAUUAAUGCCGUUUUAUUUAUGGUUUCUCAGCAAUAUGUUUCUUUAAUAAAGCAUGUGGAAAGAUCUGUUCUGUGGAUUACUUAGAAAUACUAUUUGGCACAAAAUCCUCCCAAAACUCACACUCAUGCUACAAAUAAACCGUAGACGCCUGCCGACAGACGCCUGCCGGCUCCGAGCGUGCCGGAACGCCCCGAAUCCGCGAGGAAGCGGCGGGAGAGGCCCGCCGGCGAGAAGGGGGCCACGGAGGCAGCGGCACCCCCGAAACGGCUUCGGGACCCCCCCCCACCCACCCACCCAAGCAACGCAGCAGGGAGCAGCCCAAUGGGACGGCAGCAAAGCAGCGGCCCCGCGGAGCCCCAAAGCCGCCCCGAUUCUCCCCAAUCCCCCGCCGUGUAAAAUCGCACCGCGAUCCUUCCCCACGGCCGCGGGUGACUCCAAGGCGGGCGCGGGGAGCAGGAAGCCCUGCACGCCCCCACCCCGGCGCGCAGGCCCGGCCCGGCCCUACCUCCGCGCCACGCCACGCCGUGCCGCCGGUACCGGAUCCGCCCCGCCGGUACCGGAUCCGCCCCGGAAGCAGCUGCCCCGCCCCCGCCACGUGACCUGGUCCCACCGCCCCAGCCCGACUUGGCCCCGCCCCCACA